rnacentral:rRNA from 1 species
UAAAGGGGCCGUAGCCGGUUUGGUCAGUCUUCCGGGAAAUCUGACGGCUCAACCGUUAGGCUUUCGGGGGAUACUACCAGGCUUGGGACCGGGAGAGGUAAGAGGUACUACGGGGGUAGGAGUGAAAUCUUGUAAUCCCUGUGGGACCACCAGUGGCGAAGGCGUCUUACCAGAACGGGUCCGACGGUGAGGGACGAAAGCUGGGGGCACGAACCGGAUUAGAUACCCGGGUAGUCCCAGCCGUAAACUAUGCUCGCUAGGUGUCAGGGACGGUGCGACCGUUUCUGGUGCCGUUGGGAAGCCGUGAAGCGAGCCACCUGGGAAGUACGGUCGCAAGGCUGAAACUUAAAGGAAUUGGCGGGGGAGCACUACAACGGGUGGAGCCUGCGGUUUAAUAGGACUCAACGCCGGAAAACUCACCGGGGGCGACAGCAAUAUGUAGGUCAAGCUAAAGACUUUACCAGAAUCGCUGAGAGGAGGUGCAUGGCCGUCGUCAGUUCGUACUGUGAAGCAUCCUGUUAAGUCAGGCAACGAGCGAGACCCGUGCCCACUGUUGCCAGUAUGUCCUUCGGGAUGAUGGGUACUCUGUGGGGACCGCCGAUGCUAAAUCGGAGGAAGGUGCGGGCUACGGUAGGUCAGUAUGCCCCGAAUCUCCCGGGCUACACGCGGGCUACAAUGACUGGGACAAUGGGCUCCUACCCCGAAAGGGGAUGGUAAUCUCAUAAACCCAGCCUUAGUUCGGAUCGAGGGCUGUAACCCGCCCUCGUGAAGCUGGAAUCCGUAGUAAUCGCGUUUCAACAUAGCGCGGUGAAUACGUCCCUGCUCCUUGCACUCACCGCCCGU